rnacentral:rRNA from 1 species
UACGUAGGGGGCGAGCGUUAUCCGGAAUUAUUGGGCGUAAAGGGUUCGUAGGUGGUCUGUUAAGUCAGAUGUGAAAGGCAGUGGCUCAACCAUUGCAAGCAUUUGAAACUGGCAGACUUGAGUACAGGAGAGGAAAGCGGAAUUCCUAGUGUAGCGGUGAAAUGCGUAGAUAUUAGGAGGAACACCAGUGGCGAAGGCGGCUUUCUGGACUGAAACUGACACUGAGGAACGAAAGCGUGGGGAGCAAACAGGAUUAGAUACCCUGGUAGU